rnacentral:tRNA from 1 species
UGGGGCAUAGCCAAGUGGUAAGGCGUUAGACUUUGGCUCUAACAUGCGUAGGUUCGAGUCCUUCUGCCCCA